AAUUCCAUUUUAAACCGUUGAAAACCUUGAAAAAACGUUGAUGAUGUCACGGUCACAUGACUUAAAUUAUGUCUAUGGUCUGAUAACAAAAUAACGUCGGCCAAUCAGAAGACGUGUUACAUCCAAAAUUUAUUUAUAUUGAUAUAUGUUCAAAAAUAUAAUAAAAAUAAUAGGUCACCGCACAUUUUCUCAAGCUACAUGUUGUGAUAGAUUAUACAGGAAAAAAAAACAUCAUUAUGUGAAUAGAAGCUAAACUAAAUUAUAAAAUUGUAAAAUAAAAUACCAGAAGAUAGCUUUUGGAAAAUGCUUUCAGAAUAUCAAAAGAAAAGAUAGGGUCAUCGUGCGUUUUUUCCAGCAAAAAUACAAAAUAGCAAAAUUCCAUGUAGAUCUCGAUUCCUUCAGAAAAUGCAUUAUUUCAGAGUUACCUC
rnacentral:lncRNA from 1 species